rnacentral:lncRNA from 1 species
CCUCAGGCUCUUUAAGUGCCUGAGUUGCUUGCAUGUUAUUUUUCCCUGUGGUGAAAGCAACAGGCACAUCAAAGCAGGUCCCAGGACUCGUCACUAGAAAGGCAUCUGGCCCCAGCACACGACAUGCUACAGAAGAAAAUCCUGCCAUAGCAUCCUCCUCACAGCACCAACAAGGAUGCCCAAAUCUCCUGAGACACAAAGCACACAUCAUAUGGCCAAGAGCCACAGCACACCCCCACACACCUUGGACAGCUGACAGCUGAGGCAGAUCCAGAAGUGGUGAAGAUGAUUCACAAAAUGGAAGACUGACAUUCACAACUCUCCAGGCUCCUGCUCCGACCCAAGCUAACUGCAGCUGGCCAGCACAACGUGGGGGCAAUUUCAGCACGCUCAUCUGGUCUGCCUUGUCCACACCCAGAGAAACAGAUUAUUCAGCAGCCCCCACUACCACAGGCUCUUUUGAGGGGCUACAUUUGGACUGUUCAAAGCUAUAAAAGAUUCAGCAACCAGCAA